rnacentral:sRNA from 1 species
GCCGGGUGUGGUGGUGCAUGCCUGUAAUCCCAGCAGCUUGGGAGGCUGAGGCAAGAGGAUCACGAGUUCAAAGCCAGCCUUGGCAAUGGUGCGUUAAACAACUCAGUGAGACUCUGAUUCUA